rnacentral:sRNA from 1 species
CAUCUCAGAGAUGGCCCGGGACAAGCCACGCCUCCUAGCUGCCCUGGAAGUGGCUUCAGCUGCCAUGGCCAAGCGGAGCCCCCGGGCCGGAGGCGGGAGCUGCUUCACACUGAGGUUCAGAACCUCAUGGCCCGAGCUGAAUACCUGAAGGAGCAGGUCAAGAUGAGGGAAUCUCGCUGGGAAGCUGACACCCUGGACAAAGAGGGACUGUCGGAAUCUGUUCGUAGCUCUUGCACCCUUCAGUGACCCUAGAAGAAUGAUUGGACAGAUGUGAGCCAUCUGGAGCAGAGGGGCACUAACCCAGGCUGACGCCAAGAAUGAAGUGGCCCACUGCAGCCCUGGCGAGCAGGCUUCUUGGAUGGACAGUGCUGAGACCCCCAUAUCCCAGAGUCCCCAGCCUCCCUCAGGUUACUCUGCACCCCACAGGUGGUUUGAUGGCUGUGCUGUAUACUGGAGGGGAGGGCAGGACUCUGGGAGAACAGCACUUCUUUCAUGAGACCUUUGUUACUUGGUGGUUACUGGGUCCUGUGCCUGUCCGUUUUGGGGCAUGCAGCCGUCUAUCGUUUUUGGCUCCGAGAAGGGGGCAAGGGGCCCCUGCAGGGUACUUCUGUGCUUGCCCUCGCCCUGCCAGCAGGCAGCUGUGCCCUUGGCCUGCCCUUCCUGGGAUCCCUUAUUCCAACUCAGCUCCUCUUUGCACUGGAAUGGGGCACUCCAACACCCCUCAGGGACCACCCUCCCCACAGUAUGCACUCAGCCCCACAGAACCCACCAGUCUUUCUGGGAACUCACACCUGCCCGCCAUCUUGGUACUUUAAGUUAAUCCUUCAAGCAUGAAAGUUGG